rnacentral:rRNA from 1 species
CACAUGCAAGUCGAACGAUGAUCCGGUGCUUGCACCGGGGAUUAGUGGCGAACGGGUGAGUAACACGUGAGUAACCUGCCCUUGACUCUGGGAUAAGCCUGGGAAACCGGGUCUAAUACCGGAUAUGACUGCCGGCCGCAUGGCCUGGUGGUGGAAAGCUUUAUUGCGGUUUUGGAUGGACUCGCGGCCUAUCAGCUUGUUGGCGGGGUAAUGGCCCACCAAGGCGACGACGGGUAGCCGGCCUGAGAGGGUGACCGGCCACACUGGGACUGAGACACGGCCCAGACUCCUACGGGAGGCAGCAGUGGGGAAUAUUGCACAAUGGGCGCAAGCCUGAUGCAGCGACGCCGCGUGAGGGAUGAAGGCCUUCGGGUUGUAAACCUCUUUCAGUAGGGAAGAAGCGAAAGUGACGGUACCUGCAGAAGAAGCGCCGGCUAACUACGUGCCAGC